rnacentral:ncRNA from 1 species
UGCGAUGAGUCGAGAAAAAUCAGGCAAUCUUUUGAUUGUUUCGCUGCGGCGACAAGUGAUUAUUUUUCAUAGACAGAGUACGAAUAUCACCGGAUUGUGAUGUACUUGCUUAGUGUAGAUGUGAACUGC